rnacentral:rRNA from 1 species
UACGAAGGGGGCUAGCGUUGCUCGGAAUCACUGGGCGUAAAGCGCACGUAGGCGGACUCUUAAGUCGGUGGUGAAAUCCUGGAGCUCAACUCCAGAACUGCCUUCGAUACUGAGAGUCUCGAGUCCGGGAGAGGUGAGUGGAACUGCGAGUGUAGAGGUGAAAUUCGUAGAUAUUCGCAAGAACACCAGUGGCGAAGGCGGCUC